rfam:Microgenomates bacterium GW2011_GWC1_44_9 TW80_C0019, whole genome shotgun sequence.
GCACCAAUAGCUCAACUGGAUAGAGCGCCGGUCUUCGGAACCGUAGGUUGGGGGUUCAAAUCCCUCUUGGUGCA